rnacentral:snoRNA from 1 species
UUACAUGAUGACAAGUUGUCGCCCCAGACGGAGGAUCCUUUUCAGGACGAUGACCGACUCGACUAAUACACUGAAAAUUCUGACA